rnacentral:lncRNA from 1 species
AGCGCCCAUGGGACACAGCUGGGGGGGCGCACAGCAGGGCGCAGCUCGUCCCCCUCUGCAACCACAGUGACCCAGGGGUGUGGGUUAGGGUUAUGGUUGUGGUUAUGGUUAAGGUUAUGGUUAAGGUUAUGGUUAUGGUUAAGGUUAAGGUUAUGCUUAAGGUUAUGGUUAGGGUUAGGGUUAUGGUUAUGAUUGGGUUUAUAGUUAUGGUUAGGUUUAAGGUUAAGGUUAGGGUUAAGGUAAGGGUUAGGUUUAGGGUCAGGUGGCCAUUGCCACACACUGCCAGAAAUGGCACCGACCUCUUCUAGGAGAGCACACGGCAGCUUUGGCUCUUUGUGAUGGAAAUGCGGCCCCGCGGGAGCAAAAGGCUGAAGUGCUCCCGGUGCUGCUCCAACCUCUGCCGGGGAUUCAGAGCACCUCAUUGACAAUGAUAUUUUUUAUUCUGAAAUGGAAGAAAGCAGCCGCUAUCUGUACAAACAAAAUUAGGCCAAAGGAGGAAAGUAAUUUUGUAAAAGAAAUAGGGAGAUGCAGGGAG